rnacentral:rRNA from 1 species
UACGUAGGGUGCAAGCGUUGCCCGGAUUUAUUGGGCGUAAAGGGCGCGCAGGCGGCCGAGCACGUCCGUUGUGAAAUCGCCUGGCUCAACUGGGCGGGGUCAGCGGAUACGGCUAGGCUGGAGCAAGCUAGGGGGCAAUGGAAUUCCCGGUGUAGUGGUGGAAUGCGUAGAUAUCGGGAGGAACACCAGUGGCGAAGGCGGUUGCCUGGAGCUUUGCUGACGCUGAGGCGCGAAGGCCAGGGGAGCAAACGGG